AUCGCUUCUCGGCCUUUUGGCUAAGAUCAAGUGUAAUAUCUUACUAUUUUUUUCUUAUUUUAACUUUUAUUUCUGGUCUGUCUUUUACAGUUAUGCUUUUGGUAGGUUGGGCUAUAGUUUCUUUUUGUCUGAAGACUGAUGCAAAGAAUGAGUUAAACAGUU
rnacentral:snRNA from 1 species